UCCCUGAGACUUUCAGUCUCCUGAAGGAACGUUAAAGACGAUGACGUUGAUAGGCCGGGUGUGUAAGCGCAGCGAUGCGUUGAGCUAACCGGUAAUAAUGUACCGUAGCGGUUAACCUU
rnacentral:rRNA from 1 species